UACGGGGGGGGUAAGCGUUGUUCGGAAUUACUGGGCGUAAAGGGCUCGUAGGCGGCCAACUAAGUCAGACGUGAAAUCCCUCAGCUUAACUGGGGAACUGCGUCUGAUACUGGAUGGCUUGGAUUUGGGAGAGGGAUGCGGAAUUCCAGGUGUAGCGGUGAAAUGCGUAGAGAUGUGGAGGAACACCAGUGGCGAAGGCGACUUUCUGGCCUAUAACUGACGCUGAGGCGCGAAAGCGUGGGGAGCAAACAGG
rnacentral:rRNA from 1 species